GGAAGUAAAGUCGUAACAAGGUUUCCGUAGGUGAACCUGCGGAAGGAUCAUUAUUGUAUAACCGAGGUGCGAGGGCUGUCGCUGACCCGAAAGGUCGUGCACGCCCGAGUGCCCUCACACACAUCCAUCUCACCCCUAUGUGCACCACCGCGUGGGUCCCCCUUUGGCUUGUUCGGAGGGGGGCUUACGUUUUUACACAAACUUUGUAUGCAGUGUAGAAUGUAUUUUUUGUUUUUGCGAUCACGCAAUCAAUACAACUUUCAACAACGGAUCUCUUGGCUCUC
rnacentral:misc_RNA from 1 species